GACGAACGCUGGCGGCGUGCUUAACACAUGCAAGUCGAACGGAAAGGCCCUGCUUUUGUGGGGUGCUCGAGUGGCGAACGGGUGAGUAACACGUGAGUAACCUGCCCUUGACUUUGGGAUAACUUCAGGAAACUGGGGCUAAUACCGGAUAGGAGCUCCUGCUGCAUGGUGGGGGUUGGAAAGUUUCGGCGGUUGGGGAUGGACUCGCGGCUUAUCAGCUUGUUGGUGGGGUAGUGGCUUACCAAGGCUUUGACGGGUAGCCCGCCUGAGAGGGUGACCGGCCACAUUGGGACUGAGAUAGGGCCCAGACUCCAACGGGAGGCAGCAGUGGGGAAUAUUGCGCAAUGGGCGGAAGCCUGAUGCAGCAACGCCGGGUGCGGGAUGACGGCCUUCGGGUUGUAAACAGCUUUCGCCUGUGACGAAGAGUGAGUGACGGUAAUGGGUAAAGAAGCACCGGCUAACUACGUG
rnacentral:rRNA from 1 species